GGGAAAUUUGCUGCUAAAGUCUCCAAGUGUCUGAGCCCCGGCAGGCUGCAAUCUGGCCUGCCCGUUCAUCCCAGGGCCCAGAAGUCACACUCGGAAUGUGUUCCUGUUUUGCCCAUAUCUUGAACCUGUUUGCUUGACCAACUACGCAGAUCACUGACUGGCUGACUUUGGUUAAAGUGGGUGGACGAUGGAGAGCGGAGUGGAACUGCUCAGAUACAAGCAAGCUGGGGAGAAGCCUUUUGAGAGUGGGAGGUGUCUUCUUGCUCUCCUCACACCUUUUCUAGAAACAGGAUGCAUGGAUUUGCCUUCUACCUCCCUGGAUGGAGGCAAUGUGAAUCUGUGCCGAGCUGAGGAGCCAAGACCUGGGACCAGGGGAGACCCAGGAAGAAGCAAGGAGAAGCAAGCCUUAGACGCCAAGGAUUUGGGCAUGACCACCAAGUGAAAUGAGGCAGCAUUGGUGGUUCAGAUGGACAGUACAAACCAGACCCCUUGGCUAGCCUAAUUUGGUUGUGGUUCAUGUCAUUCACAUCGUUCCCUGUGUCUGGGCUGGAGCUGUGGUGGGGGGAGCAGUCAGCUCCCUGUGCUGGGCCUGGGCCUGGAAAACGUCAGGCUGUGGCUGACCGUACAUAAACAACCAGCCACUCCUGGGCUGAGGACAGUUUUCCACUCACCUGGCUCCAGAUUUCCAGGGCCCAUGUCAGUCUAUCUGUGUUUACGUCUUGGCCCAGUGAAUGGAGUCUCCUUCCUGGGGAGGCCUAUUCUUAGAGCCCAUGACCUAUACCUGCUUACUCCCCACAAGACGAGGGGCUGGGCAGUCACACUUGAGCCCUUCAGAACAUUUCAACCCUUUUGAGAGAGGCUGCUAGGAUCUGUCUCCUUGGGCUAGAGCAGCGCUGGGGGGGAGCCAAUAUUAUGGGCCCAGUAGAUAAUCCUUCAUGGUGUGAACAGAGGGGAGGAAAUGUCCCCCUGGUCAAAUACAUUUGUGCUCCCUUAUGUUGGUCACAAUUCUACUGAGGUGAUAGAUUAAAAAGUUACAAUGAUAAUAAUGACUGUUUUUUGCUCGAAUUGUGCUUUCCGGGAUUCAUUAGCUUGUUCAGUCUCUGUAUCAGCUUCACGGUAGGUGGGCCAGGAAUUAUCUCCACUAUUUCAUAGAUGGGGACACCAGGAGGGUCAAGGAGAGGAAGCAGACUCCAGCCGGGGUCAGGUGGCUGGGGUCCCAUCCUCAUUCUGUCACUGUCAUUGUCAAAGAGAACAAC